rnacentral:rRNA from 1 species
CCUACGGGAGGCAGCAGUGGGGAAUAUUGCACAAUGGGGGAAACCCUGAUGCAGCGACGCCGCGUGAGUGAAGAAGUAAUUCGGUAUGUAAAGCCCUGUCAGCAGGGAAGAAAAUGACGGUACCUGACCAAGAAGCCCCGGCUAACUACGUGCCAGCAGCCGCGGUAAUACGGAGGGGGCAAGCGUUAUCCGGAUUUACUGGGUGUAAAGGGAGCGUAGACGGCAAGGCAAGUCUGGAGUGAAAGCCCGUGGCUCAACCACGGGACUGCUUUGGAAACUGUGUUGCUGGAGUGCAGGAGGGGUAAGCGGAAUUCCUAGUGUAGCGGUGAAAUGCGUAGAUAUUAGGAGGAACACCGGUGGCGAAGGCGGCUUACUGGACUGUAACUGACGUUGAGGCUCGAAGGCGUGGGGAGCAAACAGGAUUAGAUACCCCAGUAGUC